rnacentral:ribozyme from 1 species
AAAAAAACAGAAUUGGAAGGGAGAAAUGAACGAACUGAACAUCCGCGGUACUUUUUUUUGUUGAUUUUGUGAAAAUCUUUUAUUUCUUUUUCAUUUUUUCUUCAUUCAUUCGCGUAUGUGG